CUGGCGUCUUCGGCGUCCGCAUUGUAAUCUCAAGAAGUGUUUUCCGCUUCGGACCAUGCCUAAGUCCCUUGGAAAAGGGCAUCAUAGAGGGUGAUAAUCCCGUACAUGGCAUGGAGCGCCCGAGGCUUUGUGAUACGCUUUCUAAGAGUCGAGUUGUUUGGGAAUGCAGCUCAAAAUGGGUGGUAAAUGCCAUCUAAGGCUAAAUAUUGGGGAGAGACCGAUAGCGAACAAGUACAGUGAUGGAAAGAUGAAAAGAACUUUGAAAAGAGAGUUAAACAGUACGUGAAAUUGCCAAAAGGGAAGGGUAGGAGGUCAGAGAUGCGUCUUGGGAUUCAGCCUUGCUUUUGCUUGGUGUUUUUCCCAAGUUGCAGGCCAACGUCGGUUUUGGGCACUGGAGAAGGGUGGAAGGAACGUGGCACCUCUCGGGGUGUGUUAUAGCCUUCUACUGGAUACAGCGACCGAGACCGAGGACAGCAGCGUACUCGCAAGAGCGGGCCUUCGGGCACCUUUACGCUUAGGGCGUUGGCAUAAUGGCCCUCUACCACCCGUCUUG
rnacentral:rRNA from 1 species